AAUAAGAUGCCUGAAUAAAGGAUUAUUUUGAUAGAAUAAAUUAUGUAUAAUAUACUCUUAUUA
rnacentral:tRNA from 1 species